GACGAAGGUGGCAAGCGUUGUUCGGAAUCACUGGGCUUAAAGCGUGUGUAGGCGGAAGCGUAAGCGUUUUGUGAAAUCCCUCGGCUUAACCGAGGAAUUGCUUGACGAACUGCGCUUCUUGAGGCAGGUAGGGGUGCGAGGAACUCUUGGUGGAGCGGUGGAAUGCGUAGAUAUCAAGAGGAACGCCGGUGGAGAAGUCGUUGCACUGGGCCUGUCCUGACGCUGAGACACGAAAGCGUGGGGAGCAAACAGGAUUAGAUACCCCUGUA
rnacentral:rRNA from 1 species